rnacentral:rRNA from 1 species
GACGAACCGUGCGAACGUUGUUCGGAUUCACUGGGCUUAAAGGGCGCGUAGGCGGACGGUCAAGUCGGGGGUGAAAUCUUUCAGCUUAACUGGAAAAGUGCCUCCGAUACUGAUCGUCUCGAGGGAGGUAGGGGCAUGUGGAACUUCCGGUGGAGCGGUGAAAUGCGUAGAGAUCGGAAAGAACACCAACGGCGAAAGCACUCUGCUGGGCCGACACUGACACUGAGAGACGAAAAGCUAGGGGGUGCAAAUGGG